rnacentral:rRNA from 1 species
GAUGAACGCUGGCGGCGUGCCUAAUACAUGCAAGUCGAGCGAACAGAUGAGGAGCUUGCUCCUCUGACGUUAGCGGCGGACGGGUGAGUAACACGUGGAUAACCUACCUAUAAGACUGGGAUAACUUCGGGAAACCGGAGCUAAUACCGGAUAAUAUAUUGAACCGCAUGGUUCAAUAGUGAAAGACGGUUUUGCUUUCACUUAUAGAUGGAUCCGCGCCGCAUUAGCUAGUUGGUAAGGUAACGGCUUACCAAGGCAACGAUGCGUAGCCGACCUGAGAGGGUGAUCGGCCACACUGGAACUGAGACACGGUCCAGACUCCUACGGGAGGCAGCAGUAGGGAAUCUUCCGCAAUGGGCGAAAGCUUGACGGAGCAACGCCGCGUGAGUGAUGAAGGUCUUCGGAUCGUAAAACUCUGUUAUUAGGGAAGAACAAAUGUGUAAGUAACUAUGCACGUCUUGACGGUACCUAAUCAGAAAGCCACGGCUAACUACGUG